CGCACCCUGAAGACGUGCAGUGGAACCAUGACAGUCAGCGCAGUUGCAUGCUUGGAAUUCUAGCUGCCGACUUUUGCUUUCAAGGACCUCGUCGGUUUUUAGGACAGUGGAGGAAGGCGGCAUGUGAUGAUUCACUGAGAAGAGACUCCUCAACACGAAGUUCGGCAGCUAAACUUUUCUUUUCCGUGUUCUUCAGGAUAUUUCCCCAGCAGCAGCAGCAACAACAGCCCCGGGUUGCCAAACAACAAGCAUCAUUCAGUGUCAGCCAACGGCAGCGGCUGGAGCUCACUGUCGUCUCGUCCCCGCUUCUCUGCAUCCUGUAAAUUUCCGCUUCUCUCUCAAGUUGCUACCCCUUCUCUGACCUCAAUAGAAAGUGACACUCCCACACCCAAGAGAGACCGCAGAGAAUGAACUUGGUGACAAAGUUGUGAAAACUGAGUAAUGAUCGUCUAAUUUCCUCUGCAUGUGCAUGCUGCACUCACAGGCGGUUUAUCAGUCCAAUAGCCAUUAUGGAGGUGGGAUUAGUGAAUGAAAGCCCUCUAUGACUCUGUGUGUUGCUGUGUCUCCUAUCUGGAGCUGCAAAGUGGGUCCCAUGAAAUCUAAACUAGUAAUCGGGUUUCUGUGCUGAAAAAGAUUUGUUAGUGAGUGGACUAUUGUGCACCCUGACCCAAAGCAGCGAAGAAAUCUGCCUCUAAUAAUAGUUAAAUAGUCUAGGAAGCCAUUUUAAUGUAGCUUUUCACCAAAAGUGAUGUGGUGGAUUUAGUUCUUCAUCCAGCACAUGUGGUGGCUUCUGUGUGUGUGUGUUGGAAAAUAUUGCAUUAAUCCACCCAGAAAUCCUCACAGCCACUCUGAAAUAAAACCACAAUGCUUUGCAGCGCUGUGAGCCCAAGGCAAAUUAAUGUAAAGGAGAUACACAAUUACAACCUUGAAGUGUCUUUUAUUAAUCUGUUAACGCAUGUGUGGUCUGUGUAACCAUUUUCUGUUCAUUGUUCAAUUUGCGGCAUCAAAAUGAUUUAAAUAAAAAAUGGGAUUUAAAUUUUUAUUAUCCACUUUUUUUUAUUACUUCACAAGUAUAUAAUUG
ensembl:lncRNA